UUUUUGAAAAUUUGUGCAAUCAUGGCUUCUUCUUCAUUCACUUCUCUGAUUCUCAUGUCUCUUAUGUUUCUCACCCUUUCCAGUCUGUCUUUCUCUUCACAAACCCAAUCCCCCCCUCCUUAUGCUAAGAAAGUUACUGUUUCUCUUUACUAUGGAUCAUUGUCUCUUGAGUCAGCAGAAUUUGUAGUGAAUAACCUGUCUAAAAUCUACGAUAACGGACUUUCCGAAAUUGUUGAUCUCCAGCUUAUUCCCUUCGGAAAUGCUGUUCUUCUGAAAAACGGGACAAUAAUUUGUCAGAAUGGAAUUCAUAAAUUGUGUCUCAAGACUAGUUUCUGAAGGAAAUCCGCAACGUUGGUUUUUAUGCUUAGAUGACAAGAAGCCCGUGAAUGGGGACCUUAUUUCAUUUGCUUUGAAAGUGGACUGGCACGAAAGAUCAAUUGCGGUAUGCAAAUGAAACAGCUGCCCUUAAUCCUGCUCUCUCAUACGUUCCUUGGGUUACAGUCAAUGGAGUACCUAUGCGUCGUGAUGAUGUUAACAACUUAAUGAAGAAAAUCUGCAAAUCCUACACAGGAUACUAUGUGGUUUGUGAGAAAUUAAGCUAAAUUUGAGUCCAAACCGUCAUUAGUUGAGUGAAGGGAUAUAGUGAUGAUGGACGAUCUAGUUUUACUUUCAUUGUUAGAAAAAUAAUAGCAGAUCGAUGCUCAUUUAUUUGUCUGUUUGAUAUGCAAUCACUGUGACGCUUGACAUUUGUUUUUGUGCAUCAAAACUCAUGUCUUAAUUUCAUGUA